CCCUUUGAUACUCUGGGCGGUACGCGCGCUACACUGGUUUAUAUAACGCGUAAUUUGGACGAUAGUCUGUAUAAAUCACUAAUAUAAAACCGUGAAUGGGAUAGUUUAUUGCAACUUACAAACUUUAACUAGGAAUCCCUUGUAGAAGUAGUGAAUUAUACUGCUUCGAAUACGUCCCUGCCGAUUGUACACACCGCCCGUCGUUUCUUCCGACUGGUACUCAUUGUGAAUUGCGAGGAGAUUCUGUCAAAUCGUUGUAAAUGCUGGGUAUUGGAGGAAGAAAAAGUCGUAACA
rnacentral:rRNA from 1 species